CCUACGGGUGUGCAGCAGUGGGGAAUAUUGGACAAUGGGCGAAAGCCUGAUCCAGCCAUGCCGCGUGUGUGAAGAAGGCCUUCGGGUUGUAAAGCACUUUCAGUGGGGGAGAAAGCCUUGGGGCUAAUACCCUCGAGGAAGGACAUCACCCACAGAAGAAGCACCGGCUAACUCCGUGCCAGCAGCCGCGGUAAUACGGAGGGUGCGAGCGUUAAUCGGAAUUACUGGGCGUAAAGCGCGCGUAGGCGGUCUGAUAAGCCGGUUGUGAAAGCCCCGGGCUCAACCUGGGAACGGCAUCCGGAACUGUCAGGCUAGAGUGCAGGAGAGGAAGGUAGAAUUCCCGGUGUAGCGGUGAAAUGCGUAGAGAUCGGGAGGAAUACCAGUGGCGAAGGCGGCCUUCUGGACUGACACUGACGCUGAGGUGCGAAAGCGUGGGUAGCAAACAGGAUUAGAUACCCGGGUAGUC
rnacentral:rRNA from 1 species